UCCUGGGUGGCUCAGUCAGUUGAGCGUCUGACUUCAGCUCAGGCAUGAUCUCACGGUUUGUGGGUUCGAGCCCCAUGUCAGGCU
rnacentral:tRNA from 1 species